rnacentral:lncRNA from 10 species
UGAAGAAGGGAGCUAUUAAAGCUGAAAAGAGUAAAGAAGCAAAGGUGAGUAGACGUCAACGAGUAACAGUGAAGACCUAGCCGUGCCUGGAGUAAAUUAAGGUGAUCUAUGUCUCCGGCUUUCCAAGGCAGCAGCAAAUAAUCCCAAAGGAGGUAAACAUCUAAAAGAAAGGAAUGAAAACAGGUUUUAUUUAUAAAUGCCUCACUGUUGGAACCUGCAUGAAUGAAAGCUGAAUCUCAAAGAUCAGACACGUUGGACUUGGAAUAAUGUCCAUGUUAUGAUUCCAAUCUGUGCCUAAAUCUGAACCACUCAGUUCUUCAUGCUUGUUGGAAUCCUCCUAAAAUUGGAAUUUCCUGGGAGAUAUCCAGUACUUUUUGGGCUGUAAACAGCAAAACAAACAGCCUUUCUUGUAAUAUGCUACGUCUAGUGCUAACUGAAUUCAAGAAGUUUAUGAGUGUGGGGAAAGUAACUUGAUGUCUUUGCAAACUUACAAAUUUGCUUCAGUUUAAAUUUUGACCAAAAAUUCAUCUCAGGAAUAUGUUUUGGAAUAAUUCUUUGCUAUUAGUUAUAAAUGUGACAAAUAUCGUUUAAACAAUAAAAUAUUAUUUUAUACAACAAAUUAUGGCAACAAAUUCCUUGUAGUGAUAGAUUUUUUAAAAUCUUUAAAUCAUAGAUAGGGAUUUAUUAUGCUCCAUGUCAAUUAUAUGCAUGUUUGUGUGUAUAUGUGUGUAUAUGUGUGUGUAUAUAUAUUUCACUUAAUCUCUGAGAACAGUCUGAAUUUUUAUGUUUCUCUAUUGUAUAUAAUUGAAAAACAUAAGACAAAGAAAUCACUUAUUAGUACGUUGAUAGAUAAACGUGCUUGAUGCCAAAUAUAGACACACAAAAUACACUUAAUUCUUCUGUAAGAACUCUUAAACAUCUAUGAGAAACAUCUUAUCAAAUUGAUUUCCCCCUUUCUCCUUAGUAAAAAAAUCCUGACGUUUUUAGGUUGACACAAUGCCACUCAGCUAAACAAUGACAUUUCCCAGACUCCUUUGUGUUUAAGUGUGGCGUACGAGUAUUGUAUCUGUAGCUCCAGCAGCCAUCUUGGACCAGAAUAUGAUGGUCUGGAGAAUGUAAGCCAUGUGCAGAAUGAUACUUACAGACAAGGGACUGUGUACUUC